UUGCCUACGGGGCGCAGCAGUGGGGAAUAUUGCACAAUGGGGGAAACCCUGAUGCAGCGACGCCGCGUGAGUGAAGAAGUAUUUCGGUACGUAAAGCUCUAUCAGCAGGGAAGAAAAAAAGUCCUUUGGACUUUGGACGGUACCUGACCAAGAAGCCCCGGCUAACUACGUGCCAGCAGCCGCGGUAAUACGUAGGGGGCAAGCGUUAUCCGGAUUUACUGGGUGUAAAGGGAGCGUAGACGGCAGUGCAAGUCUGAAGUGAAAGGCAAGGGCGCAACCCUUGGACUGCUUUGGAAACUGUGCUG
rnacentral:rRNA from 1 species